rnacentral:rRNA from 1 species
GAUGUUGGGUUAAGUCCCGCAACGAGCGCAAUCCUUAUCCUUAGUUGCCAGCACGUCUGGGUGGGCACUCUAAGGAAACUGCCGGUGCUAAGCCGGAGGAAGGUGGGGAUGACGUCAAGUCCUCAUGGCCCUUACACCCUGGGCUACACACGUGCUACAAUGGCGGUGACAGUGGGCAGCGAGCACGCGAGUGUGAGCUAAUCUCCAAAAGCCGUCUCAGUUCGGAUUGUUCUCUGCAACUCGAGAGCAUGAAGGCGGAAUCGCUAGUAAUCGCGGAUCAGCACGCCGCGGUGAAUACGUUCCCGGGCCUUGUACACACCGCCCGUCAAGCCAUGGAAGCCGG